GAACGGGUGAGUAACACGUGAGCAACCUGCCCCUGACUCCGGGAUAAGCGGUGGAAACGCCGUCUAAUACCGGAUAUGACACACCAUCUCCUGGUGGUGUGUGGAAAGUUUUGUCGGUCAGGGAUGGGCUCGCGGCCUAUCAGCUAGUUGGUGGGGUAAAGGCCUACCAAGGCGAUUACGGGUAGCCGGCCUGAGAGGGCGACCGGCCACACUGGGACUGAGACACGGCCCAGACUCCUGCGGGAGGCAGCAGUGGGGAAUAUUGCACAAUGGGCGAAAGCCUGAUGCAGCGACGCCGCGUGGGGGAUGACGGCCUUCGGGUUGUAAACCUCUUUUACCACCAACGCAGGCCCCGGGUUCUCUCGGGGUUGACGGUAGGUGGGGAAUAAGGACCGGCUAACUACGUGCCAGCAGCCGCGGUAAUACGUAGGGUCCGAGCGUUGUCCGGAAUUAUUGGGCGUAAAGAGCUCGUAGGCGGCGUGUCGCGUCUGCUGUGAAAGACCGGGGCUUAACCCCGGUUCUGCAGUGGAUACGGGCAUGCUAGAGGUAGGUAGGGGAGACUGGAAUUCCUGGUGUAGCGGUGAAAUGCGCAGAUAUCAGGAGGAACACCGGUGGCGAAGGCGGGUCUCUGGGCCUUACCUGACCUGAGACGAAAACUGG
rnacentral:rRNA from 1 species